GGCAUGUGGCAGCAACUUGAGUGUUCAUUUGUUUCUGUAAGAAGAUGUGGGAAGUAUGAGUUGGAUGGGGGUUCGAACUGUUUCCAGUUUGGACAAAGAUAAUAACGGCAAAAUAUUUUGUUGUCUACAUUAUCAUUUUGUUUGGCUACAUGCUCUAAAAGGUGAUAACAAAGAUGCAAAGUGUGUUGGAAACGCAAGCAGAGAUCAUAAAAUAGUUAGGCAGACCUUUUGGAUUGAAAACAAUGGAAGGAUAGGCUUUUGCUUGCAGUCCAUCAAACCCAGGAUUUUUGCGACUUCCGUUUGCUGUUGAACUGCCCAAAAGACCCAAAGCUGCAAAAUUCUCUUUGUUUCUUCCACUGUCAUCAUCACAGUGGGAAGAAACCAAGAGCAUGAA
rnacentral:lncRNA from 1 species